rfam:Tissierellia bacterium KA00581 genomic scaffold Scaffold34, whole genome shotgun sequence.
AUAAUGAUACUGCUAAGGUUUAAGCCGGCUAAUCUUGAACAGAGGUAGAGGCGAGAUUCCUAUGU